UUGAUGAACGCUAGCUACAGGCUUAACACAUGCAAGUCGAGGGUCAGCAUUUUAGUUUGCUUGCAAACUGAAGAUGGCGACCGGCGCACGGGUGAGUAACACGUAUCCAACCUGCCGAUAACUCCGGAAUAGCCUUUCGAAAGAAAGAUUAAUACCGGAUAGCAUACGAAUAUCGCAUGAUAUUUUUAUUAAAGAAUUUCGGUUAUCGAUGGGGAUGCGUUCCAUUAGUUUGUUGGCGGGGUAACGGCCCACCAAGACAACGAUGGAUAGGGGUUCUGAGAGGAAGGUCCCCCACAUUGGAACUGAGACACGGUCCAAACUCCUACGGGAGGCAGCAGUGAGGAAUAUUGGUCAAUGGGCGAGAGCCUGAACCAGCCAAGUAGCGUGAAGGAUGAAGGCUCUAUGGGUCGUAAACUUCUUUUAUAUGGGAAUAAAGUUUUCCACGUGUGGAAUUUUGUAUGUACCAUAUGAAUAAGGAUCGGCUAACUCCGUGCCAGCAGCCGCGGUAAUACGGAGGAUCCGAGCGUUAUCCGGAUUUAUUGGGUUUAAAGGGAGCGUAGGUGGAUUGUUAAGUCAGUUGUGAAAGUUUGCGGCUCAACCGUAAAAUUGCAGUUGAAACUGGCAGUCUUGAGUACAGUAGAGGUGGGCGGAAUUCGUGGUGUAGCGGUGAAAUGCUUAGAUAUCACGAAGAACUCCGAUUGCGAAGGCAGCUCACUAGACUGUCACUGACACUGAUGCUCGAAAGUGUGGGUAUCAAACAGGAUUAGAUACCCUGGUAGUCCACACAGUAAACGAUGAAUACUCGCUGUUUGCGAUAUACAGUAAGCGGCCAAGCGAAAGCAUUAAGUAUUCCACCUGGGGAGUACGCCGGCAACGGUGAAACUCAAAGGAAUUGACGGGGGCCCGCACAAGCGGAGGAACAUGUGGUUUAAUUCGAUGAUACGCGAGGAACCUUACCCGGGCUUAAAUUGCAACAGAAUAUAUUGGAAACAGUAUAGCCGUAAGGCUGUUGUGAAGGUGCUGCAUGGUUGUCGUCAGCUCGUGCCGUGAGGUGUCGGCUUAAGUGCCAUAACGAGCGCAACCCUUAUCUUUAGUUACUAACAGGUGAUGCUGAGGACUCUAGAGAGACUGCCGUCGUAAGAUGUGAGGAAGGUGGGGAUGACGUCAAAUCAGCACGGCCCUUACGUCCGGGGCUACACACGUGUUACAAUGGGGGGUACAGAAGGCGGCUACCUGGUGACAGGAUGCUAAUCCCAAAAACCUCUCUCAGUUCGGAUCGAAGUCUGCAACCCGACUUCGUGAAGCUGGAUUCGCUAGUAAUCGCGCAUCAGCCAUGGCGCGGUGAAUACGUUCCCGGGCCUUGUACACACCGCCCGUCAAGCCAUGAAAGCCGGGGGUACCUGAAGUACGUAACCGCAAGGAGCGUCCUAG
rnacentral:rRNA from 1 species